rnacentral:lncRNA from 1 species
CUUAUUCAUCUCCUGGUUGCAAGUUUGUCCCCUUGAACAACAUCCCAGUUCCUCCGCCCCCAGCCGCUGUGCAUCUCACUUCCGACCAGCCCGAUUUUCAGGCACUCCAACGUCCUCAUGUGAGAUUAGCGGCCAUUGUAAUGGAUGACACAGAUCUAGAAGGCCGUGACACCAAGUUAUCCACGUAAUGGAACUUCAUUGUUGAUGCCUCGUCCAGUCCAUGACACUUCUAGGUUUCAUGCGCCCCGAUUGGAAGCCCUGAUUGGAAGCCCGCGAGGUCCAGUUCUUCAGAUAAUUGAAGCCCUGGGAAUGAAACCAGGCCAUCUGCUAACUUUGUCCUCACAUAUUUUUCUUAAAAAUGUGGCGAAGGGGCCGACCCCAUGGCCGAGUGGUUAAGUUCGCGCGCUCCUGCUUCGGCGGCCCAGGGUUUCGCCAGUUUGGAUCCUGGGCGCGGACAUGGCACCACUCAUCAGGCCACGCUGGGGCGGCGUCCCACAUGCCACAACUGGAAGGACCCACAACUAAAAUAUACAGCUGUGUACCGGGGGGCUCCGGAGAGAAAAAGGAAAAAAAAAAAUCUUGAAAAAAAAAAUUUGGCAAAAACCUAGUGGGAAGCACUUCAGCCAACCAGGGACUAGGUCUCUUACAGAACCUGGAUCUGAAUAAUGAAAGUGGAACCUAGGUACCUGCUGCUGCUGGAUCCUGCCACCAAUGUCAUUCUGUGGUCAGGACCAGCCCCCUUUUCUCUCUCGGCUUUCCCAGAUAUUUAACCUCUGCCCUCCAAAUUAGGGGUUCAUAGCAAGACCUUCAAAAAUCCCUGUGCUUCCCUUCUGCUCUUGAAUAGUGGAACUGUGUUCUUGAACUUGGUCAAAAAUAACUGAUUAGUUAUUUUUUACAAUCUGUGAGCAGCUGUUUGGGAAAAUACUUGG